AAUUUUUAUUUAUUAUAUGUAAGUACACCGUAGCUGUCUUCAGACACUCCAGAAGAGAGCAUCAGAUUUCGUUUCAGAUGGUUGUGAGCCACCAUGUGUGCUGAUAUACAUAAGUAAAUAGAUCUUAAAAAACAAAAACAUAUUUUGUGGUAGUAGUGGUAAAAACAUAAGCUUUUAAUUCCAGUACUCAGGAGGCAGAGACAGGCAGAUCUCUUGAGUUGACACCGGCCUAGGCUACAGAAGGACUUCUAGGACAACCUGGAAAAACCCUGUCAUGAAUGCACCCGACUCCCACCCCCACACAGGACAAAAAAACAUGUUUAACCUCACAUUCCUUUCAGCAUACUGCCCUUCAGGGAUAAGAACAAUGGACAAUUACUUUAGACAAAAGCUGUUUUUAGAAAUGCAAUAUUGUGUAGAGAAAUGCACUGAUAACUAUAGCACAGGUCUACGUGAAAAGACUAACGGUGAAGGGGAAGAGUUCAGUCCCUCCUAUUAGACCCUGAAUCAUGACACAGAAGGGACUCCAAGGGGGAGCGAAUGCAAUUCU
ensembl:antisense Gm37850 predicted gene, 37850